CAGAGAAGGAGCCCUCUGCCUAAAAGAUGGGCCUACCCAGCAGCUCUAGGCUCAAGGGACCCUUUGGUCAUCCUCACUUCCAAAUCACUCAGUUCCAACUCUGGUGCACCUUGGCUCAUACCUGCCUCACUCCAGCAUUCCGUGGGACCCCGGGUGGGCAGGAAAAGGCCCAGAGUGGUAGGACCCUCUACCCCUGCCUGCUUUUCCUGGGCCACAUGGCUGUGACCUACCCCAGUCAUGCCCAGAAGGACCGCCUGAAGGCUAAGCUCCCCUCCACCAGUUCUCCAUAUCUACCUUGCCCGAGUCCACCCAGAAAGCCUCUCAUAAUACCUGUCCAGGAGCUGACCCCAGCAUCUGUCUGCUCUGCUGUUCCCACCUGUCUCAAGCACAAGGCUGGGACCUGAUGUACCACCUGCAACACACACACACACACACACACUGUGAUGACUGUCCCAUGAGCACAGGUGCCGCAGCAUCCCCUUAGCAGCAGUGAUAGCCAACCUAGGGAGGGCGGACCUCACCCCCACCUUAGUUCAGGAGGCAGGUCCCACCACCACUCUCAGAUUCCAUUCUCUCAGCGGGUCUAAGAUAAAACACUUUUUACCUCUUUCCGCCACGAGAGUGCUCACCGAGCACCUUCCAGGAUAUGCCAAUGUGGUCCGGAGCAUUUUUGAGAAAUUGUGUAUUCUUUUAGCUCUGAAGGCUUUAGCAUUACCUGCCUAUGUGGUUAACUUGUCCGCCUCCCCUCCACCCUGUCCUGUGCCUUGCUGCCUCCUCACCCAUGGCCACCCUUGGCAGAGGAAAGGCCACAAGCCCAGUGAGGAGGCGGCAGCCUGCCCCGCCACCCUGGGAACCAAGGAGGCAGAGCCCCACCGCCUGCCUAGAGGCUGGGGCAGGCCUCAGCUUGCUAGGCCCAGCAAACCCUCUCUGAGUUCAGUGCUAAUUCCAGUUUUUCUUGUUUGGAGGGGCUGAUCCUUAGCUUCCCUCUUUGCCCCCCAGAAUAGGUCCCAGGAUGAGUGGGGGAGGGGUGACCCUCCUGCCCUCCCUUCUCCCUCUGCCUCCUGCUGGGCCAUCCCUGCAGGGGCUUCCAAAGCUAUCCUCCUGGAAGGGUGCCCCUCCUGUGCACACUCUGAGGUCCAGGGUGGGCUGUGUUGGGGACAACACGAAUUCAAUCACACCAGGCCCCAGGAAAAGGAAUGGGGAGGGUGAGG
rnacentral:lncRNA from 1 species